GACGUAGGUGACCAGCGUUGUCCGGAUUUACUGGGCGUAAAGAGCGCGCAGGCGGUCGUUCAAGUCGAGUGUGAAAGCCCCCGGCUCAACUGGGGAGGGUCAUUCGAUACUGAUCGACUGGAAGGCAGGAGAGGGAAGCGGAAUUCCCGGUGUAGUGGUGAAAUGCGUAGAUAUCGGGAGGAACACCAGUGGCGAAGGCGGCUUCCUGGCCUGUUCUUGACGCUGAGGCGCGAAAGCUAGGGGAGCAAACGGGG
rnacentral:rRNA from 1 species